CCCAGACUCCUACGGGAGGCAGCAGUGGGGAAUAUUGCACAAUGGGGGAAACCCUGAUGCAGCGACGCCGCGUGAGUGAGGAAGUAUUUCGGUAUGUAAAGCUCUCUCAGCAGGGAAGAAGAUGACGGUACCUGAGUAAGAAGCCCCGGCUAACUACGUGCCAGCAGCCGCGGUAAUACGUAGGGGGCAAGCGUUAUCCGGAUUUACUGGGUGUAAAGGGAGCGUAGACGGUGAGGCAAGUCUGAAGUGAAAGCCCGGGGCUCAACCCCGGGACUGCCUUGGAAACUGCCUGACUGGAGUGCUGGAGAGGCAAGCGGAAUUCCUAGUGUAGCGGCGAAAUGCGUAGAUAUUAGGAAGAACACCAGUGGCGAAGGCGGCUUGCUGGGCCAUUACUGACGCUGAGGCACGAAAGCGUGGGGAGCGAAUAGGAUUAGAUACCCGUGUA
rnacentral:rRNA from 1 species